UUACUUACCUGGAAGAGGGAAUAUCAUGAACACAGAAGUGGUUUUCACAGGGUGAGGCUCAUCCAUUGUACCACAGGUAUACUUACCCCUGCAAUUUUCUGAAAUGUGGGGGAAACCACUGCAUAAUUUGUGGUUGGGUCAUGAGAUUGCAUUUCAAUGUCCC
ensembl:snRNA U1 U1 spliceosomal RNA